rnacentral:rRNA from 1 species
UGGGGAAUAUUGCACAAUGGGGGAAACCCUGAUGCAGCGACGCCGCGUGAACGAAGAAGGUAUUCGUAUCGUAAAGUUCUGUCCUAUGGGAAGAUAAUGACAGUACCAUAGAAGAAAGCUCCGGCUAAAUACGUGCCAGCAGCCGCGGUAAUACGUAGGUCCCGAGCGUUGUCCGGAUUUAUUGGGCGUAAAGCGAGCGCAGGCGGUUAGAUAAGUCUGAAGUUAAAGGCAGUGGCUCAACCAUUGUAGGCUUUGGAAACUGUUUAACUUGAGUGCAGAAGGGGAGAGUGGAAUUCCAUGUGUAGCGGUGAAAUGCGUAGAUAUAUGGAGGAACACCGGUGGCGAAAGCGGCUCUCUGGUCUGUAACUGACGCUGAGGCUCGAAAGCGUGGGGAGCGAACAGG